AAAAUGUAAAACAAUUCGAACAAGAAAAAAAACGGUCUUAUUUAUGUACAAAAAAUGAACAAAAAACAUUGUAUGUUAAGCAUACAAAGCAUGAUUCAGCUUAUGUCGUUUCGUUAAGUGCAUAAAGUAUUCUUUGGAAUGUGGUGGCUUCUUUCAGUGUUUCGUAUCUUUCUUUUAAAUCAUCAAAAUUUUCACCCGGAUUUUUUUUAGGUAGAUGAUAUUUCGCAGGAGCACGCUUGAUAUCGAUGCAAGAUACACUAAAGCCAUGUAUUGAACAAAAAUCCAGUUGCUAACGUUCGGAAAUACAUAAGUUUGUUGGAUAACUAAUUCCAUUUUUAUAAAAACCAAUACACCCAAUACAUCGACACUUUUGAUAAACGAUACAAAAAACUAAACUAAAAACGCUAAAUGAAAAACGCUAUAAUAACCCUUAGCUACAAACGGGUUAACGUCGUCAUAUUACAUGAGCUUAUCGAUAUCAUUAACCAUAUGCUCAGUAGUACCAUAUAUACUAUACGCUACACGAUACCACAAACAAUACAAACGCAGAACGAUAUUUUCAUAUGAAAAUGUUCAUUCUUAUUGAAAUUAAAAGUCGACCGAAUUUAGUACGAUUAUUAAUCAAACGGAAAGUUUAAAUUUGUAAUCAUCGUUUACAUUGAUAUUCUUACUGUUCAUUAGUGUAUCUGUUUUUGAAUUUUAGGUUUAUUUUUCAUGCAUAAAUUUUAAAUCAGCAAAUGAAUGGUUACAUAAAAUUUCCAUUACAACAAAAUAAAACCUCACGUUCAAUUGCCGUAUGUUUUUGUUUAGUAUUAAAGAGGGUACAUAACACUACAGGGAGAUAUCUCUGUUAAAUCAGCUGACCGUUUAAAGCACACUCUAUUGUAAGAAAAUAUAAAGCUUUUCAAUGAUCAAAAUUAGUGUUUGUCAAACUACUAUAUAUCCAACCAUCUUUUACUGAUACAUGUAAUGUGUCUGCUUCAUUUUUUUU
rnacentral:lncRNA from 1 species